UUCCGGUUGAUCCUGCCGGACCUGACUGCUAUCGGAUUGAUACUAAGCCAUGCGAGUCUUUGCAGUAAUGCAAGGCAUACGGCUCAGUAACACGUAGUCAACUUACCCUAUGGACGAGGAUAAUCUCGGGAAACUGAGCAUAAUACUCGAUAGAUCAUAAUGCCUGGAAUGGUUUAUGGUUGAAAUGAUUCGUCGCCAUAGGAUGGGACUGCGGCCUAUCAGCUUGUUGGUGAGGUAAUGGCCCACCAAGGCGAUUACAGGUACGGGCUCUGAGAGGAGAAGCCCGGAGAUGGGUACUGAGACACGGACCCAGGCCCUAUGGGGCGCAGCAGGCGAGAAAACUUUGCAAUGUGCGAAAGCACGACAAGGUUAAUCCGAGUGAUUUCUGCUAAAGAAAUCUUUUGCCAGUCAUAAAACCACUGGUGAAUAAGGGGUGGGCAAGUUCUGGUGUCAGCCGCCGCGGUAAAACCAGCACCUCAAGUGGUCAGGAUGAUUAUUGGGCCUAAAGCAUCCGUAGCCGGCCUUGUAAGUUUUCGGUUAAAUCCAUGUGCUCAACGCAUGGGCUGCCGAAAAUACUGCAUGGCUAGGGAGUGGGAGAGGUAGACGGUACUCAGUAGGAAGGGGUAAAAUCCUUUGAUCUACUGAUGACCACCUGUGGCGAAGGCGGUCUACCAGAACACGUUCGACGGUGAGGGAUGAAAGCUGGGGGAGCAAACCGGAUUAGAUACCCGGGUAGUCCCAGCUGUAAACGAUGCAGACUCGAUGAUGCAUUGGCAUAAUAGCCAGUGCAGUGUCGCAGGGAAGCCGUUAAGUCUGCCGCCUGGGAAGUACGUACGCAAGUAUGAAACUUAAAGGAAUUGGCGGGGGAGCACCACAAGGGGUGAAGCCUGCGGUUCAAUUGGAGUCAACGCCGGG
rnacentral:rRNA from 1 species